UACUUGGUUGAUCCUGCCAAGGAAGCACACUUAGGUCAUAGAUUAAGCCAUGCAAGUGUUAGUUCAGGUAACGAAACUGCGAAUAGCUCAUUAAUACGCUCAGAAUCUAUUUGGCGGCGACCAACAGGUCUUAAAUGGAUAGCAGCAGCAACUCUGGUGCUAAUACAUGCGAUUGUUUCUCCAGAUGUGAAUUAUGGAGGAAAAGUUGACCUCAUCAGAGGCACGCCAUUCGACUGAGUGACCUAUCAGCUUGUACUUAGGGUCUUUACCUAGGUAGGCUAUCACGGGUAACGGGCGGUUACCGUCGGACUGCCGGAGAAGGCGCCUGAGAGAUAGCGACUAUAUCCACGGGUAGCAGCAGGCGCGAAACUUUCCCACUCGAGACUUUCGGAGGAGGUAAUGACCAGUUCCAUUGGUGCCUUUUGGUACUGUGGAUAGGGGUACGGUUUUCCACCGUACCGAAACCUAGCAGAGGGCCAGUCUGGUGCCAGCAGCUGCGGUAAUUCCAGCUCUGCGAGUUUGCUCCCAUAUUGUUGCAGUUAAAACGCCCGUAGUCUGAAUUGGCCAGCAAUGGUCGUACGUAUUUUUACGUUCACUGUGAACAAAUCAGGACGCUUAGAGUAUGGCCACAUGAAUGACUCAGCGCAGUAUGAAGUCUUUGUUUUCUUCCGAAAACAAGCUCAAUGAGAGCCAUCGGGGGUAGAUCUAUCUCAUGACGAGUGGUGGAAUACUUUGACUCAUGAGAGAGAAGCUGAGGCGAAGGCGUCUACCUAGAGGGUUUCUGUCGAUCAAGGGCGAGAGUAGGAGUAUCCAACAGGAUUAGAGACCCUGGUAGUUCCUACCUUAAACGAUGCCGACAGGAGUUUGUCAUUUGUUAAUGGCAGAAUCUUUGGAGAAAUCAUAGUUCUUGGGCUCUGGGGGAACUACGACCGCAAGGCUGAAACUUG
rnacentral:ncRNA from 2 species